AUGUGUGUUUCUUGUUCAUAAUGGCCCUUCCUACUAAGUUUUUGAAGGUUCAAAAAGACAGUCAUUGUCUUUACAUCUUUCUAUGGGAAAUUGGAUGGGUUCAUGCAAAUGGCCUUGGAUGCUGCUUACAGUUUGCUUAAAGGGAGGGAGAGCUCCCACCAGCUACUCCUAGCACAGGCCUUGUUACUCAGAAGGAUGAAGGGCAAUCUUUCUCUAAAUGUGUAUUAAAAUGUGCUUUUAUAUGUAUGUAUUUACAAAUGCAUAUGUGGAGGAUUUUUUUCUUUUAUUGUGAAACAGAUACAUGUACUUUUGUGGCCAUAUUUGAAGACGUGUGUUUCUGAUUCCCAUCAAUGGAUUUAUUCAUUCUCAACCAGCAGAGGAGAAAACAGUCCAUCCUAAGCACAGUGCCUGGCACAAAAUGGACAUUCCCUGUAUAAGAUGCCAUAACACCCCAAGUAGAAAGGAAUGCAUUUGAAUCAAGAAUGAUUUCUGAGCCAGGAUCAUCUAAUCAAUCAAAAUGGAGAAGAGAUGAUCACAUCCAUAAGUCUUUCCAGGAAAUGCAUGCAGUAGGCUAUCAAAAGUUAUUAUGAUAGUGCAGGAAAAAAAUAUUCGAUGGGAGAAAGCUGAGUUCAAAUCCCAUUCUCUAACAUUGCUAUGUAACCACAGGCAAGUCACUUAAACUCAAUUUCUUCUUCUAUGAAAUAGGCACAACAAUAAAUAUUUGCACUAUCUACUUCA